UACGUAGGGAGCAAGCGUUGUCCGGAUUCACUGGGUGUAAAGGGUGCGCAGGCGGGAGAGUAAGUCGGAUGUGAAAUCUCCGAGCUCAACUCGGAAAUGGCAUUGGAAACUACCUUGCUCGAGGGUUGGAGGGGGACUGGAAUGCUUGGUGUAGCAGUGAAAUGCGUAGAUAUCAAGCGGAACACCAGUGGCGAAGGCGAGUCCCUGGACAACUCCUGACACUGAGGCACGAAAGCUAGGGGAGCAAACAGG
rnacentral:rRNA from 1 species